UACAGAGGGUGCGAGCGUUGUUCGGAAUUAUUGGGCGUAAAGGGCGCGUAGGCGGUGCGGUAAGUCACCUGUGAAAUCUCCUGGCUCAACUGGGAGCUUGCAGGCGAAACUGCCGUGCUGGAGUGUGGGAGAGGUGCGUGGAAUUCCCGGUGUAGCGGUGAAAUGCGUAGAUAUCAAGAGGAACACCAGUGGCGAAGGCGAGUCCCUGGACAAUACCUGACACUGAGGCACGAAAGCCAAGGGAGCAAACAGG
rnacentral:rRNA from 1 species